rnacentral:miRNA from 1 species
CUACCCCUUUCCAUUCUUAUGC